AUGAUGCAUGGAAAAAAUGUCUUUGGGUCCAACAUAUACCCUUGUGUCCAAAACACCAUUACACAGCUAGCAUUAUUCUUAGGAGGGUGGAGGCACUAUUUCCCCUCCCUCUUCGUCACACGCCUAUCAGUCGUCGACAUCGCCGCCGACCGCCAAGACCUGUGGGUGUUAUCCUCGAAAGAGAUCAACUUCCCCUAUCUAGUGGCACUAACUUUGUUGCAUAUGGUGUUCUCAUCUGUAGUCUCAGCAGCACCCAAUGGCAGGCUGAACGAUGUGGUGGCAUCUCCAAACCCUCAGGUGUCGUCCGCAUGGCAGUGGGCAACAAUAGGGCAGCAGGAGUACAAGAAUGCCAACAUGUAUGCUAGCGCUGACCCCUACGUAGUAUUACUACAGAGGUGA
rnacentral:rRNA from 1 species